UACGUAGGGUGCGAGCGUUGUCCGGAUUCAUUGGGCGUAAAGGGCGCGUAGGCGGCGGGGUAAGUCGGGUGUGAAAAUCUCAGAGCUCAACUCUGAAAACUGCACUCGAUACUGCUUUGCUAGAGGACUGGAGAGGAGACUGGAAUUUACGGUGUAGCGGUGAAAUGCGUAGAUAUCGUAAGGAAGACCAGUGGCGAAGGCGGGGUCUCUGGACAGUUCCUGACGCUGAGGCACGAAGGCCAGGGGGAGCAAAACGGGG
rnacentral:rRNA from 1 species